UUCAAAUCUUCAAAUAGUACUUAUCUGAAAUGAAACAGUCCUAGGGGGGCAGCUUGGUGGCUCAGUGGAUUGAGAGCCAGGCCCAAAGACAGGAGGUCCUAGGUUCAAAUGUGGUCUCAGAUACUUCCUAGUUGUGUGACCCUGGGCAAGUCACUUACUCACUGCCUAGCCUUCUCUUCUGCUGUGGAACCAAUACAGAGUAUUGAUUCUAAGACGGAAGGUAAGGGUUUUUAAAAAGAAAGAAAGAAAUGAAGCAGUCCUUGAUUUAGGAUUAUAUUUUUCUUUUAUUUCAAAAGCUUGUUACAGGUUUAAAAAAAAAAGAUGCCAACCAAUGUGGAUGCAUGACUGAUAUAAGCAGAUUCUACAUGACACACACUUGUGUACUUUGCUUUAUAAGGGAGAAUCAGUGGGAGGAAGAGAAGGCCAUGAAAAGAUUCUGAAAGAAGACAACACUGUAAAGGAAAUCAUAUGAAAUACUCUUGCCUAUUUGAGAAGCAGGCCGGCUCGGGGGUGACUGUGGAGGGAUGGAAUGUGUGUCGGACAGUGUACAACAAACAGCAUCCCAAGAGAUGAGGAAGCCACGGGCCUGAGCUUGGAUCAGAGCAGCCUGAAGAGGCCGGAGGCUAAACACAGCCCAGGCUGUGCCAAUGAAGCCAAGUUCCGGUAGAAUAGCCCAGUGACGGAGUGUUUCUGCCCCUGGGGACCAGCCAUCCUAGCU
rnacentral:lncRNA from 1 species